CGGGAGGCAGCAGUGAGGAAUAUUGGGCAAUGGAGGCAACUCUGACCCAGCCAUGCCGCGUGCAGGAAGACUGCCCUAUGGGUUGUAAACUGCUUUUAUACGGGAAGAAACCCAACUACGUGUAGUUGGCUGACGGUACCGUAAGAAUAAGCACCGGCAA
rnacentral:rRNA from 1 species